CUUUCAUCAAUUCCACACACCCGCAUACCAUCUCCUCAGCGCUCCCUGCCCCACCUCCCAUUGCAGGAAGAACUUGGCCAAAUUUUCUGUUUUUGGUGACUGUAUCCUGCUGGGCACUUCUCAGCAAUAUCAACAGCUGGCCAAGCAGGAGAGUUGGCAGACUGAGCUCAGCUUGGGGAAAGAUGAUGGGAACUCAUAAUUAUAGCAUCAUAGAUGUAAAACUGGAAGGGACAUCACAGGCCAUCUUAUUUAGUCCAACCCUCUCAUUUUACACAUGAGGAAAAUGAGGUCCAAGGAAGCCAAGAAUGAACAUAAAGACUGUAAUAAUUUCCCUGCCCUCCCCAUUCCUGGCUCACUCUCUAGCUACUCUCCCUGGGAUCUUAAGAAGCAUAUUUCUGCAGAAUCUGCUCUUCUCAUUUGAACCCUGCCACCAUCCCCUCAGGAGGGUUAGGGGGACCAAUUGCCAUCUAUAGUUCUACUACCUGACUGGCUGAAAGGAAACUGGGCAGUUUUGCUAUUUCUACAAUUCUGAGAUUUUUCCUUGUAAUGGAAAUUGAGGUUCUAUAUGCUUUGUGACCUCAUUUUUUUCUUUUCCUUCUCUCUCUCUUUUUCCUUCUCUCUCUUCUUUCUCUCUCUCUCUUCCUUCCUUCCUCUUCCUUCCUUCCUUUCUUUCUUUCUUUCUUUCUUUCUUUCUUUCUUUCUUUCUUUCUUUCUUUCUUUCUUUCUUUCUUUCUUUCUUUCUUUCUUUCUUUCUUUCUUUCUUUCUUUCUUUCUUUCUUUCUUUCUUUCUUUCUUUCUUUCUUUCUUUCUUUCUUUCUUUCUUUCUUUCUUUCUUUCUUCCUUUCUUUUUCUUUCUUUCUUCCUUCUAGAGUCUUAGACUUGGCUCCAGGGCUAGACUUCAAAAACCAACUGAGAACUGGUCCAGAUUCAUGAUCAAUGUUCCCAUCCUGUUUCUUCCACUUUUUAAACUUCUUCUACUAGGUAUCCAGGACUUACUUUCAAGCCAUUCUCUCUUCAGAAAUGAAAAAAAAAAAGAUUAUAAAAGACCAUUGUAGGAUUUUGUUUAGUCAUUUUCAAUGAUGCCUCAUUCUUUGUGACCCUAUUUGGGGUUUUCUUGGCAAAGAUCCUGGAGUGGUUUGCCAUUUCCUUCUCCAACUCAUUUUACAGAGAGGGAGCUGGGACAAAUGGGGUUAAGAAUCCUGCCCAAG
rnacentral:lncRNA from 1 species